UACGGAGGGUGCGAGCGUUAAUCGGAAUUACUGGGCGUAAAGCGCACGUAGGCGGUUUGUUAAGUCGGAUGUGAAAUCCCCGGGCUCAACCUGGGAGCUGCAUUCGAUACUGGCAGACUUGAAUACGGUAGAGGGGGGUGGAAGUCCAGGUGUAGCGGUGAAAUGCGUAGAGAUCUGGAGGAACACCAGUGGCGAAGGCGGUCCCCUGGACCGAUAUUGACGCUGAGGUGCGAAAGCGUGGGGAGCAAACAGG
rnacentral:rRNA from 1 species